AUGGAGUCUUACACUGUCACCCAGGCUGGAGUGCAAUGGCAUGAUCUCGGCUCACCGCAACCUCCACCUCCCGGGUUCAAGCGAUUCUCCUGCCUCAGCCUCCUGAGUAGCUGGGAUUACAGGUACAACCACAGGGCUCCCCAUGAGGUGAUGUCAUCGAAUUUUCCUGGCUGAAGAGUCGUCCUUUGUGUACACACAUGGGAGUUUAUUUUUUCAUCUGCAUAUGGACGCAUUCCUGAGACUUCAGAAACAUUCUAUGGAGAAUUGAGAAGAGAGUAUUUUUUGAGCCAGAAAGUGCUUUCCUGUGAAGUUUGUAUAUUUCCCCCAGAAGAUCAAUGGAAGGUGGAUUCCAAAGAGUGGGCAAGUGAGGACCCCUUCUCUGUUACCAAGGUGACCCCAAGGAACACAGUAAAUGUGGCGGCUUAUUUGGCCUCCCCAGGACGGACUGGAGCAUCAGUAGUGCCUGAGUUCAUCAAAGGACAGAUGCUCAAGACACCUUGAUCACCAUUAGGUGGAAUUGAAGGAGCCAAAAAUGGGCGCAGUGGCUCCUCAGCAGAGACGCUCCUGAAUGUAUAGACAUGGGAACCACUUUCAGCAUCAAAAAAGGAAACGUUCUGCAUGCCCAUAUCCAGAAAAAUCCCCACUCGCUGUAACUUGCGGUCUACUAAGAGGAAAGUCAGCGGCACCGUGCUGGCAGAGAGGCGGCUUCCAUCCCUCAAACUCACAGUCCAGAAUCCAAGCUCUGUGGUCAGCUGGAUCUUCCCUUUGCAGUGAACAGAUUCUCUGCAGACUCCCAGGUCCCAUUCUGUGCUUGUUCCCACGUCCACCUCCCAGUAGUGGCGGCCACAGGUAAAGCGAGGGGAGCCCAGGAUGCAAACGGACACGUCAAAUCUCUCGGCAAGGUCUUGCCGAUUCUGUGUGAUGAGCCCACUUCGGACGCUCCUGAGGUCGUCAGAAAUGAGGAGGAAGUUGUUGGCUGUGUCGGCAUCCAAGGUCAUAUCCACUGUGAAAAGGAAAACAAGUUGCUCAGCAAGUGGACAGAAGCCAACCCCAUGCCUCUCUUCUACUUCAAAGGCCCAAAUAUCUCCUGACUUUAGUUUCUUUAAUUCUGUUUCUUCCUCCAAAAUCAAAACUUUUCAUGAGGAAACUUCCCUAUUUCAAAUUUUCAUAGGUAUGCUUUGUGGCAAUACGUGACUCUUAUUCACAGUAGCAAUUCUUAUUUUACUUUACGUCACGUGUUUGCUUCACUGAACUUUUCUUCAUUUAGAGUGGAGGGUCUCUGAAGGCAGACACCAUGCCCCCCUUUCUACCACCUUGAUGUGUGAACAAAUAAAUGA
ensembl:lncRNA RFPL3S RFPL3 antisense